AUUGAACGCUGGCGGCAGGCCUAACACAUGCAAGUCGAGCGCGAGUCGGGCGGGUGAGUAUUGUGUGGGGACUGCCCGAUAGAGGGGGAUAACUAUUGGAAACGGUAGCUAAAACACCAUACUAUCGGAGUGUCCAUAUGGGAUUAGCUAGUAUGGGAGGUAAUGGCUCACAUAGGCGACGAUCCCUAGCUGGUCUGAGAGGAUGAUCAGCCACACUGGGACUGAGACACGGCCCAGACUCCUACGGAGGCAGCAGUGGGGAAUAUUGCACAAUGGGCGCAAGCCUGAUGCAGCCAUGCCGCGUGUAUGAAGAAGGCCCUAGGGUUGUAAAGUACUUUCAGCCGGGAGGCGUUACCGACAGAAGAAGCACCGGCUAACUCCGUGCCAGCCGCCGCGGUAAUUC
rnacentral:rRNA from 1 species